AAUAAGCGGAGGAAAAGAAACCAACAGGGAUUGCCCCAGUAACGGCGAGUGAAGCGGCAACAGCUCAAAUUUGAAAUCUGGCUUCGGCCCGAGUUGUAAUUUGUAGAGGAUGCUUUAGGCGCGGCUCCUUCUGAGUGCCCUGGAACGGGACGCCACAGAGGGUGAGAGCCCCGUAUAGUUGGAUGCCUAGCCUGUGUAAAGCUCCUUCGACGAGUCGAGUAGUUUGGGAAUGCUGCUCAAAAUGGGAGGUAAAUUUCUUCUAAAGCUAAAUACCGGCCAGAGACCGAUAGCGCACAAGUAGAGUGAUCGAAAGAUGAAAAGCACUUUGAAAAGAGGGUUAAAUAGCACGUGAAAUUGUUGAAAGGGAAGCGCUUGUGACCAGACUUGCGCCGGGCUGAUCAUCCGGAGUUCUCUCCGGUGCACUCUGCCCGGCUCAGGCCAGCAUCGGUUCUCGCGGGGGGAUAAAGGCCUCGGGAACGUAGCUCCUCCGGGAGUGUUAUAGCCCGGGGCGUAAUGCCCUCGCGGGGACCGAGGUUCGCGCAUCUGCAAGGAUGCUGGCGUAAUGGUCACCAGCGACCCGUCUUGAAACACGGACCAAGGAGUCAAGGUUUUGCGCGAGUGUUUGGGUGUAAAACCCGCACGCGUAAUGAAAGUGAACGUAGGUGAGAGCUUCGGCGCAUCAUCGACCGAUCCUGAUGUAUUCGGAUGGAUUUGAGUAGGAGCGUUAAGCCUUGGACCCGAAAGAUGGUGAACUAUGCUUGGAUAGGGUGAAGCCAGAGGAAACUCUGGUGGAGGCUCGCAGCGGUUCUGACGUGCAAAUCGAUCGUCAAAUCUGAGCAUGGGGGCGAAAGACUAAUCGAACCAUCUAGUAGCUGGUUACCGCCGAAUUUCCCC
rnacentral:rRNA from 1 species